rnacentral:rRNA from 1 species
CUCCGGGGCGACCCUGCCUUCGGGCGGGGGCUCCGGGUGGACACUUCAAACUCUUGCGUAACUUUGCAGUCUGAGUAAACUUAAUUAAUAAAUUAAAACUUUUAACAACGGAUCUCUUGGUUCUGGCAUCGAUGAAGAACGCAGCGAAAUGCGAUAAGUAAUGUGAAUUGCAGAAUUCAGUGAAUCAUCGAAUCUUUGAACGCACAUUGCGCCCCCUGGUAUUCCGGGGGGCAUGCCUGUUCGAGCGUCAUUUCACCACUCAAGCCUCGCUUGGUAUUGGGCAACGCGGUCCGCCGCGUGCCUCAAAUCGACCGGCUGGGUCUUCUGUCCCCUAAGCGUUGUGGAAACUAUUCGCUAAAGGGUGUUCGGGAGGCUACGCCGUAAAACAACCCCAUUUCUAAGGUUGACCUCGGAUCAGGUAGGGAUACCCGCUGAACUUAAGCAUAUCAAUA